CACGUAGGCACCAAGCGUUUGUCCGGAUUUAUUGGGCGUAAAGAGCUCGUAGGCGGUUGAGUAAGUCGGGUGUGAAAACUCUGGGCUUAACCCAGAGCCGCCACUCGAUACUGCUCUGACUUGAGUACGGUAGGGGAGCAGGGAAUUCCUAGUGUAGCGGUGAAAUGCGCAGAUAUUAGGAGGAACACCGGUGGCGAAGGCGGUUCUCUGGGCAUGAUCUGACGCUGAGGAGCGAAAGUGUGGGGAGCGAACAGG
rnacentral:rRNA from 1 species